rnacentral:rRNA from 1 species
CUCUCGGCAACGGAUAUCUCGGCUCUCGCAUCGAUGAAGAACGUAGCGAAAUGCGAUACUUGGUGUGAAUUGCAGAAUCCCGUGAACCAUCGAGUCUUUGAACGCAAGUUGCGCCCGACGCCUUCGGGCUGAGGGCACGCCUGCCUGGGCGUC